UUUCAAGGAGCUGUGGGUGGAAUGACUAGUUUCUUCCUCUUCAUGGUCAUCUUCUCCAAGUGUCUUUUCUAAGGAUCUGAAGCUUUAUCCAAGAGGAACUGUAAGAUUUCACAUCGAUGAGAGGAGGCAUUUGUCCGUGAAACAGUGACAGUGAGAAAUUACAAGCAGCUCUGCUCUAGCCCUACUCUGUGUGUGGAGACAGACUAUCAAACCUGGUGGACCAGAAAUAGGAUAUGGAGCAAUUUUGCUUUUUUUACUGCUGUUCCUGUGAACUGAAGGAAUCUGUGAAUUAUACCAGGACAUUUGCAUUCCCAUGUAAUCUUUUCUGAGAGAUCCUUUUUAUGAAUUUGCUAGAGGCAGUAGGAGCCACAAAGGACCUUUUUCAGACUGUAGAUGACCUCAUGCUAAGAAGAGAGGAUGCAAAGCACAAAGCUUCUGAGGUACCCAUGCGGCACUACAUGGAAGCUAGGCAGAUCUGAGAAGUGGGAAGUCAAGCAGGCAGCCCAAAGGCACCACAGCCAGAAGAGAAACAGGAGGAGGAUGUGGAAAUAAUUGGAAAUCCCUGGGUUCCAGAAAGUCAGCAGAGAACAUGCCAGCACCCUUAAGCUAAGGAGGGACCUGGAAGAGGGUGCAGUUUGCAUAGUUGGAAGGAGAGAGGGAAGUGCAUGUUAAUAAGGCAGCGCGAAGGUCUGUGAACUGCAGGAGAGGCAUUCGAGGUGGGAACCGCACCCUGUCUCUAAUUCCCUCAUCUAAUCUGGCUGCAGCAGGAGCCCACACAGAAAAUCUCUUUCAAUCCCCUUACUGUUAUCCAGCUCCACACUGCUUUUGGGCUCUGCAAAUGGCUAAAACAUGAAGCAUGGGUGGUUUGUGUGUGCUGUGUUUCGUGUCAGGUUAUAAAGCUUUGAAGUUGAAAACUUGUUUUUAAAAGAAAUUUCCUCAUGUUGUGAAGAACAAAGCAGAAAAUUUGCUACCUGAAACAGCCCCUGUAACAGUUAAUUACCAAAUGCAAAUGGCUUAUUGGACUAAUCCAGGAAAAAACCCAAACAACUUCUUAAGAAAAAGGCUGUACAUUUAGAAGAUUUAUAUUCUUCUCCCUUGAGAACAGUGCACAAGCAAUAUGGAUGUUCCCAGCUCUGCUGGCUACAUGCAGCCUGAUGGUUUUUGUCAUACUCUGGCAGCAGCAGGGAAGUCUGCUCUAGGCCAAGCAGAAGAGUUUUAGCUUGUUCUGCAGGACACUUGGCUGGAGCAAGGAAGCUCCUUUAUAGCCCAAGACUUCAACAGGUUAUUUCAUAUGUCAGUUCAGCCAGUGCAGAGAGAGUGAAGAUCACCCUCAAAUGCCCCUUCUUGGAAAGUCCCCUGAAAGGGGGGACUUCCCAGCUUUAGAGUACUGCCAAAACAUCCUACUUCUGCAAACUCUUCCAGAAGAAAUACUUUUUAGGACUGUGUGCAUUUCCUUGGGAUAUUCAUCUGGGAAAAUUUAGGAUAAUUUCUUUAAUCAGGCAUUGUGGCUGGGGCAGGGGGAAUUGGGGAGCCACAUGACCCCUCCUUCAUAUAUUUGUCUGC